rnacentral:rRNA from 1 species
UACGUAGGGUCCGAGCGUUGUCCGGAAUUACUGGGCGUAAAGAGCUCGUAGGUGGUUUGUCGCGUCGUUCGUGAAAACUCACAGCUCAACUGUGGGCGUGCGGGCGAUACGGGCAGACUAGAGUACUGCAGGGGAGACUGGAAUUCCUGGUGUAGCGGUGGAAUGCGCAGAUAUCAGGAGGAACACCGGUGGCGAAGGCGGGUCUCUGGGCAGUAACUGACGCUGAGGAGCGAAAGCGUGGGGAGCGAACAGG